GAUGAACGCUGGCGGCGUGCCUAAUACAUGCAAGUCGAGCGAACAGACGAGAGUGCUUGCACUCUCUGACGUUAGCGGCGGACGGGUGAGUAACACGUGGGUAACCUACCUAUAAGACUGGGAUAACUUCGGGAAACCUGAGCUAAUACCGGAUAAUAUUUAGCUUCGCAUGAAGCAAUAGUGAAAGACUGUUGUGCUGUUCCUUAUAGAUGGACCCGGGGUGUAUUGGCUGGUUGGUGGGGUAACGGCUCACCAAGGCAACGAUGCAUAGCCGACCUGAGGGGGUGAUCCGCCCCUCUGGGAGUGACACACGGCCCAGACUCCUACGGGCGGCACCAGUAGGGAAUGUUCCGCGAUGGGCGGAAGUCUGACGGAGCAAUGCCGCGCGAGUGCAGAAGGUUUUCGGAUCGUAAAACUCUGUUGUGAGGGAAGAACGAGUACGUUAGUAACUGAACGUACCUUGACGGUACCUUACCAGAAAGCCACGGCUAACUACGUG
rnacentral:rRNA from 1 species